CCUACGGGAGGCAGCAGUGAGGAAUAUUGGUCAAUGGUCGUAAGGCUGAACCAGCCAAGUAGCGUGAGGGAAGACUGUCCUAUGGGUUGUAAACCUCUUUUAUGAGGGGACAAAGGCGUCCACGUGUGGCUGUUUGCAGGUACCGCAUGAAUAAGGAUCGGCUAAUUCCGUGCCAGCAGCCGCGGUAAUACGGAGGGUCCGGGCGUUAUCCGGAUUUAUUGGGUUUAAAGGGUGCGUAGGCCGGUCUUUAAGCGUGCCGUGAAAUUUUGGGGCGCAACCAUGAGAGUGCGGCGCGAACUGGAGACCUUGAGUGGGCGAAAGGCAGGCGGAAUUCGUGGUGUAGCGGUGAAAUGCUUAGAUAUCGCGAAGAACCCCGAUUGCGAAGGCAGCCUGCCGCAGCGUUACUGACGCUGAGGCUCGAAAGCGCGGGUAUCGAACAGGAUUAGAUACCCGGGUAGUC
rnacentral:rRNA from 1 species